AUUGAACGCUGGCGGAAUGCUUUACACAUGCAAGUCGAACGGUAGAGGGGGCAACCCCUCGAGAGUGGCGAACGGGUGAGUAAUAUAUCGGAACGUGCCCAGUCGUGGGGGAUAACGUAGCGAAAGUUACGCUAAUACCGCAUACGAUCUAAGGAUGAAAGCGGGGGAUCGCAAGACCUCGCGCGAUUGGAGCGGCCGAUAUCAGAUUAGGUAGUUGGUGGGGUAAAGGCUCACCAAGCCAACGAACUGUAGCUGGUCUGAGAGGACGACCAGCCAAACUGGAACUGAGACACGGUCCAGACUCCUACGGGAGGAAGCAGUGGGGAAUUUUGGACAAUGGACGCAAGUCUGAUCCAGCCAUUCCGCGUGCAGGAUGAAGGCCCUCGGGUUGUAAACUGCUUUUGUACGGAACGAAAAGGUCUCUCUUAAUACGGGGGGCUCAUGACGGUACCGUAAGAAUAAGCACCGGCUAACUACGUGCCAGCCGCCGCCGUAA
rnacentral:rRNA from 1 species